rnacentral:rRNA from 1 species
CAACCUACCUUUGAGUUCGGGAUAGCCCUGAGAAAUCAGGAUUAAUACCGGAUGUGGUCACGAUGAGACAUCUCAACGUGAGUAAAGGCGUAAGCCGCUCAAUGACGGGCUCGCGUCCUAUUAGCUUGUUGGUGGGGUAACGGCCUACCAAGGCGAUGAUGGGUAGCUGGUCUGAGAGGACGAUCAGCCACACUGGGACUGAGACACGGCCCAG